ACACAUAGGGGGCGAGCGUUGUCCGGAAUUACUGGGCGUAAAGGGCGUGUAGGCGGUCUAUUAAGUCAGGCGUGAAAACCCUGGGCUUAACCUGGGGACUGCGUUUGAAACUGGUAGGCUUGAGGGCAGGAGAGGAAAGUGGAAUUCCCGGUGUAGCGGUGAUAUGCGUAGAUAUCGGGAGGAACACCAGUGGCGAAGGCGGCUUUCUGGACUGCACCUGACGCUGAGGCGCGAAAGCCAGGGGAGCGAACGGGAUUAGAUACCCCGGUAGUCCUGGCCGUAAACGAUGGGUACUAGGUGUGGGAGGUAUCGACUCCUUCCGUGCCGGAGUUAACACAAUAAGUACCCCGCCUGGGGAGUACGGCCGCAAGGCUGAA
rnacentral:rRNA from 1 species